UCAGGUUGCUUUCAUAAAGGAUCGGCCUAUAUUUCACCCUGCCGGCUUCGGCCGGAUAUGGCGAUAAACGGUCAGUGAAAUAAACCUUUCGGACCCGGGGGCGGUACCCGGCGCCUCCACCACAAGCAGCUUCGGCCCCGCGCCGCGUCACAGGCUGCUUCUGCUGGGGGCGAAACAGGAUCGACGAGGGUGUAAAGACUGUGCUUUCGCCCGGCAUGGUACCGUCGUUAUCGGGCCAAAAUGAUAGUUGCCAACGACAACUACGCUCCGGUUGCUCAGGCCGCGUAAGGCGGUUUGAAAUACCGAAAUCAAGCCCUGUAGGGUAGCACUUGCAGGCGGGGUCCGGAGGCACCUGGCAACAGAAGCCUCCACU
rnacentral:tmRNA from 1 species